rnacentral:rRNA from 1 species
GAUGAACGCUAGCUACAGGCUUAACACAUGCAAGUCGCGGGGCAGCAUGGGGGUUGCUUGCAAUCCCCGAUGGCGACCGGCGCACGGGUGAGUAACGCGUAUCCAACCUGCCCUUCACCACGGGAUAACCCGGCGAAAGUCGGACUAAUACCGUAUGUUGUCCAUUGACGGCAUCCGAUUUGGACGAAAGGUUUGGCGGUGAAGGAAGGGGAUGCGUCCGAUUAGCUGGACGGCGGGGUGACGGCCCACCGUGGCGACGAUCGGUAGGGGUUCUGAGAGGAAGGUCCCCCACACUGGAACUGAGACACGGUCCAGACGCCUACGGGAGGCAGCAGUGAGGAAUAUUGGUCAAUGGGCGUAAGCCUGAACCAGCCAAGUAGCGUGCAGGAUGACGGCCCUAUGGGUUGUAAACUGCUUUUAUGCGGGGAUAAAGUGGCCCACGUGUGGGUUUUUGCAGGUACCGCAUGAAUAAGGACCGGCUAAUACCGUG